AUGGUGCACGCCGCGACGGCCGAGUGCUUCAGCAGCGUGUUCGCCUCAUUCGACCGUGACGCCGACGACAGGAUCUCGGCGGCUGAGCUGCGGCUGUGCAUGAAGGCGGCGCUGGGCGAGGACGUGUCAGCGGAGGAUGCCAAGGCGCUCGUGGCAUCGGCCGACGCCAAUGGAGACCGGCUGCUGGACGAGCAGGAGUUCCUCCGGCUAGUGGUACGGUCGGAGAUGGAGGAGGAGGAGGAGGAGCGGUGCAGGGGGCUGAAGGAGGCGUUCGCGAUGUACGAGGCCGGCGUGCCUGAUGCGAAUGCUCGCCAGGCUGGGGUCCGAGCAGGGCAUGGAGGAGUGCUGCGCCAUGAUCCGCAGGUUUGA
rnacentral:rRNA from 1 species